rnacentral:lncRNA from 1 species
GGACCAGCCUAGCAUUUCUCAAUUCAUUUUCAACUAAGAUUUCUUCAAGUUUUAUUGUAAGAUACUUUCUAUGCUUAAGUGGUAUGAUUUCAUGAUAAUAUUUAUGCUUAAGCUAUGCAUGAAAAACCAUAAUAUGAAUGUGGUGGACAAGUCCACAAAGUUAGAUAUCUAUUUAUGCCUUAGGACAAGUCCGAAGGGCACCG